UACGUAGGUGGCAAGCGUUGUCCGGAAUUAUUGGGCGUAAAGCGCGCGCAGGCGGUCCUUUAAGUCUGAUGUGAAAGCCCACGGCUCAACCGUGGAGGGUCAUUGGAAACUGGGGGACUUGAGUGCAGAAGAGGAGAGUGGAAUUCCACGUGUAGCGGUGAAAUGCGUAGAGAUGUGGAGGAACACCAGUGGCGAAGGCGACUCUCUGGUCUGUAACUGACGCUGAGGCACGAAGGCCAGGGGAGCAAACGGG
rnacentral:rRNA from 1 species